rnacentral:sRNA from 1 species
GCCAUUUUAUGUUUGAAUGAAGGAAAUAUGAAUUGACAAUAGCAGGUAAUCUGUGGGUGGUACGUAAAAAAAACCAUGGGAACUGACACCUGAAGACCUUAUCCAUUUAUUUCUCGUUGUGCGUGAUUUUACCACUUCACCUUUUGCUUUCAACCAGAGCUGCAAAGUUAUCAGAUCAAUAAGGUGAACGUGCAUGUGCAUUGCAGUUGCAGACACACAGGAUGGAUGCAAACAUGAUCUUCCAACAGUAAAGGUGCAGUUGCGUACUUAAAUUUCAACCUCGUGGGCUAUAAGAUUUCUGAGAUAAUAAUGGAAUUACAAUGACAGAACAGAAAGGUGCAUGUUACUGUGUUAGACAAUGCAAACUGUGUUUCUGCUACUGUUGGGGCAACUAAGCUCGUGAAUGACAACCAGGAGAAUCAUACACCAUUUUUCUCAUAAUUAAUCACUUUAUUUUUCAACAUUUUUUUUUUUUGAGGAAGUUUUGAUAUGAUGGAUAAAAAUAGAAGUUAAAAAGAAUAACUUGUCUAAGAUAGUUGUUGUUGUUUGGAAGAAGUGAAAGGGUAAGGAAACAUAAUUCCAAAUUUUCAUUUUGCGUAUAACAUAGCUAAUUAGGUUUUAAUAAUCGAAGAGAUAUAGUUUUGGCUCAUAGUUUUCAUUCAGG